GUCUACUUGAAGGUAUAAGUAGUCUGGCCUGCUCACUGAUAAAAUUAUUUAAGAGCCGCGGUAUCUUGACCGUGCAAAGGUAGCAUAAUCAUUAGGGGUUUAAUUGGAACCUGGAAUGAAGGGUUGGACAAAGGAAAGACUGUCUUGCCAGCAAAGAUUGAAAUUUACUUUUAAGUGAAAAGGCUUAAAUAUCUCAGGGGGACGAUAAGACCCUAUAAAGCUUUAUGGAUAAUUUAAAUUUGGUUAAUUUACAAAAAUAAAAGUUAAAUUUAAUUGUUCUAUUUUAUUGGGGUGAUGUGAGCAUAAUUAUUACUAACUGCUUAGUGAAAACACUGUAUAUAGUAGAAUCUAAAGUGGAUGAUCCUUUAUAAAGAUUAAAAGACUAAGUUACUUUAGGGAUAACAGCGUUAUUUUUUUUGAGAGUUCAUAUCGAAAAAAAAGAUUGCGACCUCGAUGUUGAAUUAAAAAGUCUAUAUAAUGCAGCAGUUAUAAAAGAAGGUCUGUUCGACCUUUAAACUUUUACAUGAUUUGAGUUCAGACCGGCGUGAG
rnacentral:rRNA from 1 species